rnacentral:misc_RNA from 1 species
UCCGAGUUGUCCCCGGCAGUCCUCUUAGAGUCCCCGGCAUUACCCGCUGGCAACUAAGAGCAGGGGUUGCGCUCGUUGCGGCACUUAAGCCAACACCUCACGGCACGAGCUGACGACAGCCAUGCAGCACCUGUGCUAGCCCCUUACGGACACGGGCUUUCACCCGCUUUAACUAGCAUGUCAAGCCUAGGUAAGGUUCUUCGCGUUGCAUCGAAUUAAUCCACAUAAUCCACCGCUUGUGCGGGUCCCCGUCAAUUCCUUUGAGUUUUGGCCUUGCGGCCGUACUCCCCAGGCGGGGUGCUUAAUGCGUUAGCUACGGCACGGAAAACAAAAAAGCUCCCCACACCUAGCGCCCAACGUUUACAGCGUGGACUAC